GCGUCCGAGGUGUUCUCGGCUGCAUGCCUGGCUUCCAACCAGGUGGAGCGGGUUCGAAUCCCGCCGGGCGCACCA
rnacentral:tRNA from 1 species